AAUCGCCUACGGGGCGCAGCAGUAGGGAAUCUUCCACAAUGGGCGAAAGCCUGAUGGAGCAACGCCGCGUGGGUGAAGAAGGUCUUCGGAUCGUAAAACCCUGUUGUUAGAGAAGAAAGUGCGUGAGAGUAACUGUUCACGUUUCGACGGUAUCUAACCAGAAAGCCACGGCUAACUACGUGCCAGCAGCCGCGGUAAUACGGAGGUGGCAAGCGUUAUCCGGAUUUAUUGGGCGUAAAG
rnacentral:rRNA from 1 species